rnacentral:rRNA from 1 species
UACGAGGGGUGCAAACGUUGCUCGGAAUCAUUGGGCGUAAAGCGCACGUAGGCGGCUUCGCAAGUCGGAUGUGAAAUCCCUAGGCUCAACCAAGGACGUGCAUCCGAAACUGCAGAGCUUGAGUACAGAAGAGGAUCGCGGAAUUCCCGGUGUAGAGGUGAAAUUCGUAGAUAUCGGGAGGAACACCAGUGGCGAAGGCGGCGAUCUGGGCUGAUACUGACGCUGAGGUGCGAAAGCGUGGGGAGCAAACAGG